rnacentral:rRNA from 1 species
CGCCAGACUCCUACGGGAGGCAGCAGUGGGGAAUAUUGCACAAUGGGGGAAACCCUGAUGCAGCGACGCCGCGUGAGUGAAGAAGUAUUUCGGUAUGUAAAGCUCUAUCAGCAGGGAAGAAAAUGACGGUACCUGACUAAGAAGCCCCGGCUAACUACGUGCCAGCAGCCGCGGUAAUACGUAGGGGGCAAGCGUUAUCCGGAUUUACUGGGUGUAAAGGGAGCGUAGACGGCAUGGCAAGUCAGAUGUGAAAGCCCGGGGCUCAACCCCGGGACUGCAUUUGAAACUGUCAGGCUGGAGUGCAGGAGAGGUAAGUGGAAUUCCUAGUGUAGCGGUGAAAUGCGUAGAUAUUAGGAGGAACACCAGUGGCGAAGGCGGCUUACUGGACUGUAACUGACGUUGAGGCUCGAAAGCGUGGGGAGCAAACAGGAUUAGAUACCCCCGUAAC